rnacentral:tRNA from 1 species
GCACAGUUAGUUUAGUCUGGCUAGAAUUCUUGCCUGCCACGCAAGGGACCCGGGUUCAAAUCCCGGACUGUGCACCA